AUUGAACGCUGGCGGCAGGCUUAACACAUGCAAGUCGAGCGGGGUGAUGGUGCUUGCACUAUCACUUAGCGGCGGACGGGUGAGUAAUGCAUAGGAAUCUGACUAUUAGUGGGGGACAACAUCUCGAAAGGGAUGCUAAUACCGCAUACGUCCUACGGGAGAAAUCAGGGGAUCACUUGUGACCUUGCGCUAAUAGAUGAGCCUAAGUCGGAUUAGCUAGUUGGUGGGGUAAAGGCCUACCAAGGCGACGAGCUGUAGCGGGUCUGAGAGGAUGAUCCGCCACACUGGGACUGAGACACGGCCCAGACUCCUACGGGAGGCAGCAGUGGGGAAUAUUGGACAAUGGGGGGAACCCUGAUCCAGCCAUGCCGCGUGUGUGAAGAAGGCCUUAUGGUUGUAAAGCACUUUAAGCGAGGAGGAGGCUCUUUUGGUUAAUACCCAAGAUGAGUGGACGUUACUCGCAGAAUAAGCACCGGCUAACUCUGUGCCAGCAGCCGCAGUAA
rnacentral:rRNA from 1 species